AAAAAAAGUAAACAAACUUGUGCUCUAGCCCUACAUGUCAAGGGCAGACAGAGUGCUAUUAGCAGUGGUACUGAAAAGUAAGGACCGCACCAGCAUCUACUGUAGAAGGACUGAAGUGACAUUUGCAGGGACAGAUGAGCAGACACUAAAAUUCAUCAACCUGUGCAAGGAAUAUGACCACCUUUUUGCAGGAUCUUGUUCUUCCAAAAACUGGCAUGGGAAUAGAGGUUGGAGAAGCAAUAGCUGUCAGCUGGAAAUUCUUUCCUGAAAUGCACAGAGCCAUGGGAAACAAACAAAGCAUAUAAACCUCAUAGGCAGUGUGAGGGGAUAUACCUCACACUGUGAGGAAAGUCCUUCUGAUCAAGGACACUGCAGUCCAGACCCCUCCACAGCUUAACACUCCACCAGAGCUCCACCAGAACCACUGGUAUCACCAUCUGCCGCCACCUCAUCCAACCAUGCCUCAUCCAGCCAAGUGUCCCUUAAAAAUAGAAGACAGAGUGAAACACUGGAUUUUCUUAGGGAAUACACAGACCAAAAAAUGCAAUGGCAAAGGGAGCUGGAGGACCGAGAAGAGAGGAGAGAACAGAAAAGACAAGAGCAACUAGACAAAUGAAUCUCCUUAUUUGGCAAAAUUCUUGAAAAAAAUAAUUGACUCAGUUUUGUGUUUUCGUAAGCCAUGUAGUUUAGUUCAUUUUCAAUACAGAGUUGUCCUUGGAUCUUAAUUUUGAUCACCAUUGUUUAUCACCAUUGUUGCUUCACUUCACAAAAAAGGACAACCUCAAUUAUCUUGCUGAAACAUGAACAAUAUAAACAUAAACAAUUAAAAAUA